rnacentral:rRNA from 1 species
GACGAACGCUGGUCGGCGCUGCUUAACACAUGCAAGUCGAACGGAAAGGCCCUGCUUUUGUGGGGUGCUCGAGUGGCGAACGGGUGAGUAACACGUGAGUAACCUGCCCUUGACUUUGGGAUAACUUCAGGAAACUGGGGCUAAUACCGGAUAGGAGCUCCUGCUGCAUGGUGGGGGUUGGAAAGUUUCGGCGGUUGGGGAUGGACUCGCGGCCUAUCAGCUUGUUGGUGGGGUAGUGGCUUACCAAGGCUUUGACGGGUAGCCGGCCUGAGAGGGUGACCGGCCACAUUGGGACUGAGAUACGGCCCAGACUCCUACGGGAGGCAGCAGUGGGGAAUAUUGCACAAUGGGCGGAAGCCUGAUGCAGCAACGCCGCGUGCGGGAUGACGGCCUUCGGGUUGUAAACCGCUUUCGCCUGUGACGAAGCGUGAGUGACGGUAAUGGGUAAAGAAGCACCGGCUAACUACGUGCCAGCAGCCGCGGUGAUACGUAGGGUGCGAGCGUUGUCCGGAUUUAUUGGGCGUAAAGGGCUCGUAGGUGGUUGAUCGCGUCGGAAGUGUAAUCUUGGGGCUUAACCCUGAGCGUGCUUUCGAUACGGGUUGACUUGAGGAAGGUAGGGGAGAAUGGAAUUCCUGGUGGAGCGGUGGAAUGCGCAGAUAUCAGGAGGAACACCAGUGGCGAAGGCGGUUCUCUGGGCCUUUCCUGACGCUGAGGAGCGAAAGCGUGGGGAGCGAACAGGCUUAGAUACCCUGGUAGUCCACGCUGUAAACGGUGGGUACUAGGUGUGGGGUCCAUUCCACGGGUUCCGUGCCGUAGCUAACGCUUUAAGUACCCCGCCUGGGGAGUACGGCCGCAAGGCUAAAACUCAAAGGAAUUGACGGGGCCCCGCACAAGCGGCGGAGCAUGCGGAUUAAUUCGAUGCAACGCGUAGAACCUUACCUGGGUUUGACAUGGAUCGGGAGUGCUCAGAGAUGGGUGUGCCUCUUUUGGGGUCGGUUCACAGGUGGUGCAUGGCUGUCGUCAGCUCGUGUCGUGAGAUGUUGGGUUAAGUCCCGCAACGAGCGCAACCCUUGUUCACUGUUGCCAGCACGUUAUGGUGGGGACUCAGUGGAGACCGCCGGGGUCAACUCGGAGGAAGGUGGGGAUGACGUCAAGUCAUCAUGCCCCUUAUGUCCAGGGCUUCACGCAUGCUACAAUGGCUGGUACAGAGAGUGGCGAGCCUGUGAGGGUGAGCGAAUCUCGGAAAGUCGGUCUCAGUUCGGAUUGGGGUCUGCAACUCGACCUCAUGAAGUCGGAGUCGCUAGUAAUCGCAGAUCAGCAACGCUGCGGUGAAUACGUUCCCGGGGCU